rnacentral:lncRNA from 10 species
AGAGGAGUCAACCCUGAGGAGGAAAAAGUAGUAUGAUUUGCUGGCGUCACCCCUCUGCUCCGUGCGGGCGCGGCGAAUGGCAGGUCCCGAGGUCGCAGCUUCCACUGGCGCGGGUUGAGUUCCCUGUUGCCCUUGGUCUCGGGGUCGCUGUAGGCGCUGAGGCUGCAGAGACUCGCUGUAUCCCCCAGGCUGGAGUGUAGUGGCGUCAUCUCAGCUCACUGCAACCUCUGCCUCCCGAGUUCAAGCAAUUCUCCUG